GCGCGCGGCAGCAGGGUUGGGCUCUCGCCGUGAGUCGACGAAGGGAGCGCGGGCGCGCGCCCGCGUCCGCGCACUGAGAGUCGCCUCGGCCGCUCGCUUUCUCGACUCCCGCCUCGCGCCUCGAUCCUGUUCCGCCUCCCUCGGCCCUCCUGCCCGCCCCCACUCGUCGGCCCUCAGCUCAGAGACCUAAUAGGAUGGGGUCUUAGAGAAACAUCUUUUGAGCCACAGACUUCUUUGUUACCAGAAGGAAAAUGAAAGAAGAAAUUUAAAUACCACUUGAAGAGAGGUAAAUAAAUGAGAAAUGGGGCUGAGAGGGCGGGUAUUUUUUUAAAAAUUCAUUAAAUGGAAAAAUCCACAAAUGUUAAUUCUGGUAGAUUUCUUAGAAAUUACAUCAGAGGAGCAUGCUUGGUCUUCCCACCCUCAUUAGGCCUCAGUGACAGGUACUUGAACAACUGAGCCCCUAAUGUGCAUGCUCCCCCACCCCUGAAGCCAGUCUCUGCCCUCCUCUUCCCUCCUCUUGCCCCUGGAAGCUGAUCGCCACCAACUGGCCUCUGGGUGGAUUUGGCCAAUGGAAGCACCUGUAGAGGGAAGAGAGUGAGGUUAGGAUAUUUCUUCCUGCUGUCUCCGUGCUUCCCUGCAGAGAGUGUGAAGAAAUGACCCUGAAAAGCCUCUGGCAGAGGAUUCUUCUUUCAGGAUGGUGUCGCCUCCUCAGCAGCCCAUCCUCCUCCCCUGGACUCAAGCUCUCAUUCCAGUAACACUCCUUCCUCCUUCUCCAUCUUCAGGGGGAGGUUUGCCAGUCGGUGAGAACCCUUUGUUAAGCUGUGUAACCUCUGUGCAUAGUUUCCUCAUCAGCAAAGUCAGAAAAAGUAUGUACCUGAAGGACUGAUUGUAAGGCUGGGAUGAGAGAAUCCAUGUGAUCAGCCCUCACCAACAGGUGCUGCCCAGUUCAUGAGUGCUGCUGCUGUCCUGCCCAAGUACCCAGCUUGCAGAGUGCCAGAGUUAGAGUCCCAGGGGUGUUCUCCACAGCUGCAUGCUUGAUCCAGGCCUAUCAGAUAUAUUCCAUUGAAAGUCCUCAUUCUCAAAUUUAAAACAAAGACUUUUUGUGUACCUCAAUAGCAAUGCACACACAGUUGGCUUCACAAACAUAUUGUACAUUUCUUUUUUUCAUAUUUAUUCAACAAAUGUAUAUUGACUACCCACCGUGUGACAGGUGUUAUUUGUUGACGGAACCAGGCAUCAUCAGCAAACAAAACUGACAAAGCUUCCUGCCCUCUGUGGAAGGCAUCUGAGGAAGAGACUGGAUUUUGUAGCAACAUGUUAUUCUCAUUAUAAACUUUAUCAUUGGAAUACUAAAGCCAAAUCAUCCCCCAUCUCCUUGAUCAGGAUACCCACUUAAUCUAGGCAGCUACACAAUUGUGAGAGCCUUUGUUUUUUUCUGCUGAAACAUCCUUAAAAAGAUACCUCACAACCCAAGAUUUGGCUUUUCUUAAAUACGAUUUUUAAUUUUUUUCAUUUCUAUCUAGAGAUUUAAUUGGAAAUGGAAAAUCAUCAAUUUUCCAAUUAAAUGUCUGUUCCAAUCAACAUUAUACCUUUUAGGUUGUCAUUGUCAUUUUUAAGUUUAAGCAACUUUAAGGAUUUUGAAUCUGGCUGCCUGUAAAUUAAAGGUGAAAGUAAUCAUUGUGUUGGAUUGGAACAUUUUGUCAAUUGAGAGUGGUUUCCUUGUUCUUAGUGUAUGAAAAGUUUAUUUUUCUAAUGUAGAUUAAUAAAGGAGAUAAAGAAAAACAAAAUGAGUGAUUUAUGUGUGUGAGAAAAGAAC
rnacentral:lncRNA from 1 species